UACACUCCUACGGGAGGCAGCAGUGGGGAAUUUUGGACAAUGGGCGAAAGCCUGAUCCAGCAAUGCCGCGUGAGUGAAGAAGGCCUUCGGGUUGUAAAGCUCUUUUGUCAGGGAAGAAACGGUGAGAGCUAAUAUCUUUUGCUAAUGACGGUACCUGAAGAAUAAGCACCGGCUAACUACGUGCCAGCAGCCGCGGUAAUACGUAGGGUGCAAGCGUUAAUCGGAAUUACUGGGCGUAAAGCGUGCGCAGGCGGUUUUGUAAGUCUGAUGUGAAAUCCCCGGGCUCAACCUGGGAAUUGCAUUGGAGACUGCAAGGCUAGAAUCUGGCAGAGGGGGGUAGAAUUCCACGUGUAGCAGUGAAAUGCGUAGAUAUGUGGAGGAACACCGAUGGCGAAGGCAGCCCCCUGGGUCAAGAUUGACGCUCAUGCACGAAAGCGUGGGGAGCAAACAGGAUUAGAUACCCGUGUAGUCCCAUGAU
rnacentral:rRNA from 1 species